rnacentral:rRNA from 1 species
AUUGAACGCUGGCGGCAGGCUUAACACAUGCAAGUCGAGCGGAGUGAUGGUGCUUGCACUAUCACUUAGCGGCGGACGGGUGAGUAAUGCUUAGGAAUCUGCCUAUUCGUGGGGGACAACAUCUCGAAAGGGAUGCUAAUACCGCAUACGUCCUACGAGAGAAAGCAGGGGAUCACUUGUGACCUUGCGCUAAUAGAUGACCCUAAGUCUGAUUAGCUAGUUGGUGGGGUAAAGGCCUACCAAGGCGACGAUCUGUAGCGGGUCUGAGAGGAUGAUCCGCCACACUUGGACUGAGGCACGGCCCAGACUCCUACGGGAGGCAGCAGUGGGGAAUAUUGGACAAUGGGGGGAACCCUGAUCCAGCCAUGCCGCGUGUGUGAAGAAGGCCUUAUGGUUGUAAAGCACUUUAAGCGAGGAGGAGGCUCUUUUGGUUAAUACCCAAGAUGAGUGGACGUUACUCGCAGAAUAAGCACCGGCUAACUCUGUGCCAGCCGCCGCAGUAAAAC